AUAAAACCAUCGAGGGAAAAAGUAACCGGUACCCACAUAGUUCAGAGAAGAAGUGUCACGGCUGAGAACACUUCCCUAUGAUGCAUCGGUGAAAGACGUUUCUUAGGUGCCGUGCCGAACGUUAUUGGUAGGUGCGGACGUAAAGCCUGCGUUAAAGGUCCAAAGUGGAAGAAUUAUCUUCAAUUAGGGUGGCACCACGGGCAGUCCCGUCCCUUUU
rnacentral:ncRNA from 1 species